rnacentral:rRNA from 1 species
UACGUAGGUGGCAAGCGUUGUCCGGAUUUACUGGGCGUAAAGAGCGCGCAGGCGGUCGUUCAAGUCGCGUGUGAAAGCCCCCGGCUCAACUGGGGAGGGUCACGCGAUACUGAUCGACUCGAAGGCAGGAGAGGGUAGUGGAAUUCCCGGUGUAGCGGUGAAAUGCGUAGAUAUCAGGAAGAACACCCGUGGCGAAAGCGGCUCUCUGGAACGGUACUGACGCUGAGACGCGAAAGCGUGGGGAGCGAACAGG